AUGAACGCUGGCGGCGUGCCUAAUACAUGCAAGUCGAGCGAACAGACGAGGAGCUUGCUCCUCUGACGUUAGCGGCGGACGGGUGAGUAACACGUGGAUAACCUACCUAUAAGACUGGGAUAACUUCGGGAAACCGGAGCUAAUACCGGAUAAUAUAUUGAACCGCAUGGUUCAAUAGUGAAAGACGGUUUUGCUGUCACUUAUAGAUGGAUCCGCGCCGCAUUAGCUAGUUGGUAAGGUAACGGCUUACCAAGGCAACGAUGCGUAGCCGACCUGAGAGGGUGAUCGGCCACACUGGAACUGAGACACGGUCCAGACUCCUACGGGAGGCAGCAGUAGGGAAUCUUCCGCAAUGGGCGAUAGCCUGACGGAGCAACGCCGCGUGAGUGAUGAAGGUCUUCGGAUCGUAGAACUCUGUUAUUAGGGAAGAACAAAUGUGUAAGUAACUAUGCACGUCUUGACGGUACCUAAUCAGAAAGCCACGGCUAACUACGUG
rnacentral:rRNA from 1 species